UGACGCUGGCGGCAGCUUACCCAUGCAACUUCAAGCGGGGAAAGGUAGCUUGCUACUAACCUACGGCGGACGGGUGAGUAAUGCUUAGGAAUCUGCCUAUUAGUGGGGGACAACGUUUCGAAAGGAACGCUAAUACCGCAUACGUCCUACGGGAGAAAGCAGGGGAUCAUUUGACCUUGUGCUAAUAGAUGAGCCUAAGUCGGAUUAGCUAGUUGGUGGGGUAAAGGCCUACCAAGGGCGACGAUCUGUAGCGGGUCUGAGAGGAUGAUCCGCACACUGGGACUGAGACACGGCCCAGAACUCCUACGGGAGGCAGCAGUGGGGAAUAUUGGACAAUGGGCGAAAGCCUGAUCCAGCCAUGCCGCGUGUGUGAAGAAGGCCUUUUGGUUGUAAAGCACUUUAAGCGAGGAGGAGGCUUCUUUGGUUAAUACCCAAAGUAAGUGGACGUUACUCGCAGAAUAAAGCACCGGCUAACUCUGUGCCAGCAGCCGCGGUAAUACAGAGGGUGCAAGCGUUAAUCGGAUUUACUGGGCGUAAAGCGUGCGUAGGCGGCUAAUUAAGUCAAAUGUGAAAUCCCCGAGCUUAACUUGGGAAU
rnacentral:rRNA from 1 species